GCAAAAGACUUCCCCCCCUGCCGGUUAGUCAGAUAAUUUAAAUUUCUCAGGAAGCUGAAAAAGCAAAGAGGAAGGAGAGGAAAGUCGCUCACGUUGAGCUAUAGCGGCUCAGCGAGGUGACAAGGGUCUUAGCAGAGAGGGAAGGGUGUCUGCCUCGGCCUGGCCUGGGUCCUGUCUGGCUUAGACUCAGGUCUAUCUUCUCACCCGCCUCCUGCUUGAAGAGCGCUCAAAGCAACAGAAACCAACUGAAGAGACAUCCCCAGGAGGGCUGGCAGUUCGGCUUGAGAAGGAGCACACGACCCGUGUAACUCACACUGCGCAAGCCGGAUACAAAGUGUCUCUGUGUAGUAUCCUCAAACAGUGUCCUGUUAGAAGAUAACCAGGUCAUUCUGUAGACCAAGCUGGCUUCAAACUCAAGAGAUCUGCGUGCCUCUGCCUGUUUCUCCCUGUUCUUAAUUGAGCAGUUUUUAUUCCAUCUUCCUAAUAGAAGUUAAAGGAUUCCACUGUGUUGCUCAAGACCCUCUGGUCUCAGCAUCUAAGUACUGGGAUUACAGGUGUGUGCCACCAUCGUUUUAAAAUGUCACUUUUUCACUAUUGACAAGUUCACAGAAAUCUCCAUCUACACACAGAGAAGAAGGUCCUCUGAAGUUGGAGGACAGUGAUCAGGAUGCUGACAUCAAAGACAACAGUGAUGCAGCCCCAAGCCCAGCAAUGCCAGUGGCCACUAGGAACAAGCAAGGCCAGGCUCUUCCCCUACAGAGGCAGCUCAGCCCCGCCCACACUUUCACCCAGCAGCCUUCAGAGUAGAGAGAAGCACCUGCAGUGCUGAGUCACAUGUCUGCAGGAUUUGCUAUGGCAGUUUGGGGUACAUAGGCCUUGCUGGCAAAGUGCACAUGCUCAGUGUUCUAAUACAUACUCCAAGCAACUGCCAUGCCCUGUGUAAAGUGUCAACACCUGUAAUGCCAGCACUCAAGAGGUAGAGACAGGAGGCUCUCUACACGGAGAGAGCCAAUGGUUUAAGGCCAGGCUGAGCUACACAGUAAGCUCUGUCAAAAACAAAACAAAACAAAACAAAACAAAACAAAACAAAACAAAACAAAACUGAGAAUACUUAAUACUGGUUUGGGGACUCCUUGGGUACUUUCACAAUCUCAUUUGUUCUGGAACAUAUCCUGGCUUCCUCCAAAGUGUUCUCAAAUCUGAUUGGGUUACUGCUGCCUUUUGAAGAUUAUCCAUUAAUCUUAGGAUAAAGGUUUAGGCCCAAAACAAUGUCUGCCACAUUAUAUACUUUUGUCUUGGCCCACCUUCCAUCUUGAUGGCUUAUUAGUAAGACCCUGUUGCAAAAUAAACAAGUAAACAAACAAAAACAAAAUAGCCAGGUCUGAUGAUUCUGGCCAUUAAACCCAGCACUCAGGAUGAAGUGCAGAUCUCUGAAUUUGAGGCCAGCUUGGUCUCCAUAGUGAGUUGCAGUCUAGCUACAGUUACACAACGAGUUGAUGCACAAGGACAUGUGGGAGAGGGAGUAGGAGAGGAGGAGGGGCUAGAGAGAUGGCUCAGCAGUUAGGAGCACCUGUUGCUCUUGCAGGAGACCUGAGUUCAGAUCCCAGCCCUCCUCUAGCCUCCAGGGGUGCCAGGUAGAUUGUAGUGGUUUGAAUAUGCUUGGCCUGGGAGUGGCACUAUUAGGAGGUGUGGCCUCUUUGGAGAAAGUGUAUCAGUGUGGGUGUGAGCUUUAAGAACCUUGCCCUAGUCCUAGCUGCCUGGAAGCCAGUCUUCUCCUGUUUGCCUUCAGAACAAGAUGGAGACCUCUCAGCUCCUCCUGCACCAUGCGUACCUGGACACUGCCAUGUUCCUGCCUUGAUAAUAAAGGACUGAAUCUCUGAACCUGUAAGUCAGCCCCAAUUAAAUGUUGUCCUUAUAAGAUUUGCCUUGGUCAUGGUAUCUCUGCAC